rnacentral:rRNA from 1 species
GACGAACUGCCCAAACGUUGUUCGGAAUCACUGGGCUUAAAGGGCGCGUAGGCGGCAGAUCAAGUCAGGGGUGAAAUCCGGCAGCUCAACUGUCGAAGGGCCUUUGAUACUGAUUUGCUCGAGGGAUAUAGGGGUCUGUGGAACUUCUGGUGGAGCGGUGAAAUGCGUUGAUAUCAGAAGGAACGCCGGUGGCGAAAGCGACGGACUGGAUAUCUUCUGACGCUGGAGGCGCGAAAGCUAGGGGGAGCAAACGGG